GAAGGUGUUUUUCGGAACAACGGAAGGUGAGGACAGUGGCGGAACGGGUGAGUAACGCGUGAGGAACCUGCCUUUUCAGAGGGGGAACAACAGUUGGAAACGACUGCUAAUACCGCAUGACACAUAGAGAUCGCAUGGUUUUUAUGUCAAAGAUUUAUCGCUGAAAGAUGGCCUCGCGUCUGAAUUAGCUAGUUGGUGAGGUAACGGCCCACCAAGGCGACGAUCAGUAGCCGGACUGAGAGGUUGACCGGCCACAUUGGGACUGAGAUACGGCCCAGACUCCUACGGGAGGCAGCAGUGGGGAAUAUUGGGCAAUGGGCGCAAGCCUGACCCAGCAACGCCGCGUGAAGGAAGAAGGCUUUCGGGUUGUAAACUUCUUUUGUCGGGGACGAGUAGAAGACGGUACCUGGCGAAUAAGCCACGGCUAACUACGUGCCAGCAGCCGCGGUAAUACGUAGGUGGCAAGCGUUGUCCGGAUUUACUGGGUGUAAAGGGCGUGUAGCCGGGAAGGCGAGUCAGAUGUGAAAUCCACGGGCUUAACUCGUGAACUGCAUUUGAAACUACUUUUCUUGAGUAUCGGAGAGGCAAUCGGAAUUCCUAGUGUAGCGGUGAAAUGCGUAGAUAUUAGGAGGAACACCAGUGGCGAAGGCGGAUUGCUGGACGACAACUGACGGUGAGGCGCGAAAGCGU
rnacentral:rRNA from 2 species